CCGAGGCGCUGCCCUCCAUGCAGUUCUUCGUGGAGAACCCCAGCGAGGAGGACGCGGCCAUCGUGGACAAGGUGCUGUCCAUGCGCGUGGUCAAGAAGGAGCUGCCCUCGGGUCAGGUGGUGGAGUCCGAGGAGUUCUUCGUCAAGUACAAGAACUAGU